GGGGAAUUGGGUCUGAAUUCACUGCCUUGUCUAUGAAUUUCAAUCUUAUGCUAUGUCCUUCCUUGGAGGUCAGAAGAGGCUCCUUACAGCUGAGAGCAAUGUAACACCAUAAAUUCCAGGUAUUGUUUGACAGGUUGGCUAGUCUAGCCUUCCAAGGCCCUGACAAUAAUGUGCCAAUGUCAGCAGGAAGUAAUUACAGAAGCCAAAACACUGUUUUCCAAGCCUGCCUCUGCCAAGGUGGAUGCCACACUGGAAAAGGCCAUGGGAAAGGAUAAAGGAUCACACAGAAGAGUGCAAACAAAAGGGAAGAGGAAAAUAAAGGCAACAGGCUAAAGUGGCUGACCAACAACUACAGAUCUGCCAGUGGAAAGUGGAGACACUGAAAAACAGAGUCCAGUCUCUGAAGUAAAAGAGAAAAGCCAAGUCUGACUAACCAUCCAUCAUGUCUGUCAUUAACCCUGCCUCGCUUCUUGUACAAUCCAGAAGAGUAUUUUAACCAAA